rnacentral:rRNA from 1 species
UACGUAGGGUGCAAGCGUUGUCCGGAAUUAUUGGGCGUAAAGAGCUCGUAGGCGGUUUGUCGCGUCUGCUGUGAAAAACCCGAGGCUCAACCUCGGGCCUGCAGUGGGUACGGGGCAGACUAGAGUGCGGUAGGGGAGAUUGGAAUUCCUGGUGUAGCGGUGGAAUGCGCAGAUAUCAGGAGGAACACCAAUGGCGAAGGCAGAUCUCUGGGCCGUAACUGACGCUGAGGAGCGAAAGCAUGGGGGAGCGAACAGG